AACGCACCUUGCACCCCUUGGUAUUCCGAGGGGUAUGCCUGUUCGAGUAUCAUUAAAUUCUCAACUCGAGAGCUCUUCUUCAUUGGGGGGGGGGCUCUUUGAGCUUGGUUUUUGGAGCAUGCAGGUGAAAUCUCCCAUCUGCUCCUCUUGAAAUGCAUUAGUGGAUGAGUUUCGUCUGACCCACUCUGGCGUGAUAACUAUCUACGUCGCUGUGGCAAAGGCCCUGGGGCAGUUUUCAAUUGCCCUCGGGGGGGAAACCUCUGUCUGCUUACAACCGUCCUCUCAGCUGGGACAAACAUUUGACAAUUUGAUCUCGAAUCAGGUAGGACUACCCGCUGAACUUAA
rnacentral:misc_RNA from 1 species